AAAGGUUCCAUUUCUAGUUUAUAAAGUUGGAUGAAUAACACAUAUUUAGGAUCAGUCGCCACACAACCUCUCUCCUGCCAACAUACGCACAUAACUUGAAUUUAUAUUUUAGUACAUAUUUAAAUAUUUGGAGUCACCAUUGCCACGAGGUUGGAAUUAUACUCACUUAACCACCUUACACAAUUUCCUACAAAAUUUCCACACUUACAUAAUUCGGAAAUUAUUAACUUCAGCUAAAAACUCACGUGCAGAUAGAUUCUACCAUGGGCGCCACCCAAACCACCUUCUGCAACGAGGCGGCCGUCCCGAUAAGCACCGGCUUAUCGGCCGGCAUCACGUACUACUCCACCGCGACGCUGCUCCCCCAAUGGUGCGUCCGUUAUGACGUGGGUCGCGUUUGGUUCACCGCGUUCGCGUUUCUCUCCUCGGCCCGCUACGACGCGCCCGUCGGACUUAAUCAGAUUUACUUCCUCACCAACGAAACGACCGCGGUCGGCGCGCAGUUCACGGGGCAAUUUGACAUUCCGAUACAACCCGUUCUAAAGUACAUACACGUUGCGGAGGAGGACGCGAACAAUCUCAUGGCCGCAGGGGACGGCUUUGUCCAGAAUAAUUUGUUCAAAGUGAGCGGAGCCAUAUCGGCCGCGUUGGACAGCGAGUACACAGAAUUGACGGGCUAGUAUGCCGGAAAAAAUCACAAAAUCAGCGUCUCGGGUGGGCCUACGGUGGCCAUAAGAGGAAUUGACGAUUACAACAUUCUCGUGUAUAUAUUACCUUUUAAGGAAAAAUUUGAACCGUUUAUAAUGCGUGUUGAUUGAUUGCUAAGUAGCGUGGGUAAACGUUGUAACUGAUUUUUCAUGUUAUUUUCAAAUUAAUGUGUCCUCCUUUGAAAUUGAAUUGGUUUUAUGAAUUACUAUUUAUGACCCCCAUAGGUCUUUGCUUAAAUUAUUUAGUUUUAUCCACUUUAAGUAUAAAUUAAAUAUUUCGGUAUGAUUUUGUGUAUUUACAUCAUACAUGUCAAUAUUUUCGCCUAGACGUCCAUACAACCUAAAUAAAUGUAUGUAUGAGUUUUAUUUAAUCAGAAUAAAUACAUCUGAAAAAUUGUUUUGUGAAUAAAAUAAAAUACGACGUUUACUUUCAUAAUUUCUUAA